AUACAGAGGGAGCAAGCGUUGUUCGGAAUUACUGGGCGUAAAGGGCGCGUAGGCGGUUCAGCAAGUCUUGUGUGAAAUCCCCCGGCUCAACUGGGGAACUGCAUAGGAAACUGCUGGACUUGAGUUCGGGAGAGGGAAGCGGAAUUCCGGGUGUAGCGGUGAAAUGCGUAGAUAUCCGGAGGAACACCGGUGGCGAAGGCGGCUUCCUGGACCGAUACUGACGCUGAGGCGCGAAAGCUAGGGUAGCAAACGGGAUUAGAAACCCGGGUAGUCC
rnacentral:rRNA from 1 species